rnacentral:rRNA from 1 species
AUACGGAGGAUGCAAGCGUUAUCCGGAUUUAUUGGGUUUAAAGGGUGCGUAGGCGGUUUGCUAAGCGGGAGGUGAAAUGCCGGCGCUCAACGUCGGAAGUGCCUCCCGAACUGGUGGACUUGAAUGACCCUGCCGUGGGAGGAAUGUGUAGGGUAGCGGUGAAAUGCUUAGAGAUUACACAGAACACCGAUUGCGAAGGCAUCUCACGAAGGGUUGAUUGACGCUGAGGCACGAAAGCGUGGGGAUCAAACAGGAUUAGAUACCCUGGUAGUCCACGCAGUAAACGAUGAUGGCUAACCGCUGGGCUUAUCAGUUCAGUGGCUAAGCGAAAGCGAUAAGCCAUCCACCUGGGGAGUACGACCGCAAGGUUGAAACUUAAAGGAAUUGACGGGG